rnacentral:rRNA from 1 species
GAUGAACGCUGGCGGCGUGCCUAAUACAUGCAAGUCGAGCGAACGGACGAGAAGCUUGCUUCUCUGAUGUUAGCGGCGGACGGGUGAGUAACACGUGGAUAACCUACCUAUAAGACUGGGAUAACUUCGGGAAACCGGAGCUAAUACCGGAUAAUAUUAUGAACCGCAUUGUUCAAAAGUGAAAGACGGUCUUGCUGUCACUUAUAGAUGGAUCCGCGCUGCAUUAGCUAGUUGGUAAGGUAACGGCUUACCAAGGCAACGAUGCAUAGCCGACCUGAGAGGGUGAUCGGCCACACUGGAACUGAGACACGGUCCAGACUCCUACGGGAGGCAGCAGUAGGGAAUCUUCCGCAAUGGGCGAAAGCCUGACGGAGCAACGCCGCGUGAGUGAUGAAGGUCUUCGGAUCGUAAAACUCUGUUAUUAGGGAAGAACAUAUGUGUAAGUAACUGUGCACAUCUUGACGGUACCUAAUCAGAAAGCCACGGCUAACUACGUG